UUGAAAUUGUGUUACACACAUAGGUUCAACAUUCAUGUAAAACAUGUGGUCUAAGGUAAAAUAAUGGCCGACUUGUGAAUCUUUUUAUUCACCUUGUAGCUCUAAAAAUGUACACAACCCUCUGUCAGGCCUG